rnacentral:rRNA from 1 species
UACAGAGGUGGCAAGCGUUGUUCGGAAUUACUGGGCGUAAAGGGCGCGUAGGCGGCCUUGUCAGUCAGACGUGAAAUCCCCGGGCUUAACCUGGGAACUGCGUUUGAAACUGGAAGGCUUGAGUGUGGCAGAGGGGGGUGGAAUUCCACGUGUAGCAGUGAAAUGCGUUGAUAUGUGUCGGAACACCAAUGGCGAAGGCAGUCUUCUGGACGAGUACUGACGCUGAGACACGAAAGCCAAGGGAGCGAACAGG